GAACUCUGCAAAAUGGCCCCGUAAGUUCGCGAUAAGGGGCGCCCGUGAGAGCGGGCCACAGUAAAUCGAUUCCUCCGACUGUUUAUCAAAAACACAGGUCUCUGCUAACACGCAAGUGGAUGUAUAGAGACUGACGCCUGCCCGGUGCCGGUAGGUUAAGGUAAGAGGUUAGUUCAUUAGAGCGAAGCUUUUGACCGAAGCCCCGGUAAACGGCGG
rnacentral:rRNA from 1 species